rnacentral:rRNA from 1 species
GUAGGGUGCGAGCGUUAAUCGGAAUUACUGGGCGUAAAGGGUGCGCAGGCGGUUUUGUAAGCCAGAUGUGAAAUCCCCGGGCUCAACCUGGGAAUGGCAUUUGGGACUGCAAGGCUAGAGUGUGGCAGAGGAGACUGGAAUUCCUGGUGUAGCAGUGAAAUGCGUAGAUAUCAGGAGGAAUACCGAUGGCGAAGGCAGGUCUCUGGGCUGACACUGACGCUCAUGCACGAAAGCGUGGGGAGCAAACAGGAUUAGAUACCCUGGUAGUCCACGCUGUAAACGUUGGGCACUAGGUGUGGCGACCCGAUCAACGGUUGCCGUGCCGAAGCUAACGCAUUAAGUGCCCCGCCUGGGGAGUACGGCCGCAAGGCUA